AUUGAACGCUGGCGGCAGGCCUAACACAUGCAAGUCGAGCGAGCGGCGGACGGGUGAGUAAUAUAUGGAUACUUCCCGAUAAAGGGGGAUCACUUCUGGAAACGGUAACUAAUUCCGCAUACUAUCGGAUAAACCAUAUGGGAUGAGCUAGUUGGUGAGGUAAUGGUUCACAAAGGCUACCAUCCCUAGCAGGUCUGAGAGGCUGAUCAGCCACACUGGGACUGAGACACGGCCCAGACUCCGACGGAGGCAGCAGUGGGGAAUAUUGCACAAUGGGCGCAAGCCGGAUGCAGCCAUGCCGCGUGUAUGAAGAAGGCCCUAGGGUUGUAAAGUACUGUCAUUAGGGAGGCGUUACCUAAACAAGAAGCAACGGCUAACUCCGUGCCAGCAGCCGCGGUAAUAC
rnacentral:rRNA from 1 species